AUACGGAGGAUCCGAGCGUUAUCCGGAUUUAUUGGGUUUAAAGGGAGCGUAGGCGGAUUAUUAAGUCAGUUGUGAAAGUUUGCGGCUCAACCGUAAAAUUGCAGUUGAUACUGGUAGUCUUGAGUGCAGCAGAGGUAGGCGGAAUUCGUGGUGUAGCGGUGAAAUGCUUAGAUAUUACGAAGAACUCCGAUUGCGAAGGCAGCUUACUGGACUGUAACUGACGCUGAUGCUCGAAAGUGUGGGUAUCAAACAGGAUUAGAUACCCUGGUAGUCCACACAGUAAACGAUGAAUACUCGCUGUUUGCGAUAUACAGCAAGCGGCCAAGCGAAAGCAUUAAGUAUUCCACCUGGGGAGUACGCCGGCAACGGUGAAACUCAAAGGAAUUGGCGGGG
rnacentral:rRNA from 1 species